ensembl:snRNA U6 U6 spliceosomal RNA
GUGCUUAUUUCAGCAGCACAAAUACUAAAACUGGAACAAAACAUAGAGAAGAUUAGCAUGGCCCCUGUGCAAGGAUGACAAAACACAUAAACUCGUGAAGCAUUCCAUAUUUUU